rnacentral:lncRNA from 1 species
AUUGAACACAGGGGCACUUUACAUUGAGCCACAUCCCCAGCCCUUUUUAUUUUUAUUUGGAGACAGGGUCUCGCUAAGUUAUUGAGGCUGGUCUCAAACUUGUGAUCCUCCUGCCUCAGCCUCCUGAGCUGCUGGAAUUACAAGAGUGCACCACUGCGCCUGGCCCUACUGACAUUUUUUAAAGGUGAAAGAAAUAUUUGCCUGUGGAUAAAAAAAGUUCAAUAAUAUAAAAGAGUAUGGUAUAAAAGUAAAAACUAAUUAGCUUGUUAUAUUAAUUUUUUAUUAGUUUCUUCCAGAAAAUCAUAUGUGAGCAGAAACAUACACACACAUUAUAUAACUGUUUUUUAUUUACACAAAAUACAUAAGCAUGUUUGGUAUAUAUUUUUUUAAAAAUUUUUUUAGUUGUCAGUGGACUUUUAUUUUAUUUAUAUGUGGUGCUAAGAAUCAAACCCAGUGACACACAUGCUAGGCAAGCACUGUACCAUUGAGCUAUAACCCAGUCCUUGGUGAUGUUCAUUCAGUACUUCCUGUGCCAUAAAUUUGUUUAUUCCCCGGUGAGACCUAGUGGUCUUUUGCUUACCAAUAUAGAGAGAUUUGCUUUCUUUACUUUGCAGCUGUUUAAUGUCGCCUUGUUCGGCUUUCCAAUAGGAAGUGCAAGGUCAGGAUUUAGGCAUGGAGUCACACCUUUGAAGCACAGGGGAGGUUUAGAGAGGUGAGUGACAGAGCCAGGACUCAGUUUUCCAUGUUUUGAAACCAUCACUAGUUUCUCCCAACAGCCCCGGGAUACCAGUUCUUUUCCAAGGAAGUGAAUUUCCAGAUGAGAUUUCUUUUCCCACAUAAACAAGAAGUGGGGAGGCUGGAGUUCAUCUGCAUUUCUUCUGGCCCUAGCC